GGGGUUGUGGCUCAAUGGUAGAGCACUUGCCUAGCAUGUAGGGGGCCCUGAGUUCAAUCCUCAGCACCA
rnacentral:tRNA from 1 species